AGAUGAAAGAACUAUACAAAGCACUAAAAAGCAAAGACAAGCUCUUAUACCUUCUCCAUAAUAUAUUAACUAGAAGUAACUUUACACAGAGAAUUAUAGCCAAGUCCCCCAAAACCAGAUGAGCUACCCAAGAACAACUGAAAGAGCACACCCACCUAUGUGACAAAAUAGUGGGAAGAUUCAUGACUAGCGGUGACAAGCCUACCAAGCCUGGUGAUAGCUGGUUGUCCAACAUGAAAUCUUAGUUGAGCUUUAAACUUACCUACAGAAUUAUUUAAUCUCCCUGUAAAUUUAAUUGUUAGUCUAAGAGGGACAGCUCUUUAGAGCCUAGGAAACGACAUUCCUACAGAGAGUAAAAAUUAUUACCACCAUAGUUGGCCCCAAAGCAGCCACCAAUUAAGAAAGCAUUUAAGCUCAACAUCUAACUAUCUUUUUUUUUUUUUUUUUUUUUUUGAGGUGGAGUCUCACAGUGUCACCCAGGCUGGAGUGCAGUGGUGCAAUCUUGGCUCACUGCAAGCUCCAUUUCCCAGGUUCAUGCCAUUCUCCUGCCUCAACCUCCUGAGUAGCUGGGACUACAGGUGCCUGCCACCAUGCCUGGCUAAUUUUUUUGUAUUUUUAGUAGAGACAGGGUUUCACAGUGUUAGCCAGGAUGGUCUGGAUCUCUUGACCUCAUGAUCCGCCCGCCUCGGCCUCCCAAAGUGCUGGGAUUACAGGCGUGAGCCACAGCGCCCGGCCACUAUCUUCAAUUCUAAUCACUCUACUGAACUCCUAACAUCACAUUGGACUAAUCUAUUACUUAAUAGAACCAAUAAUGUUAUAUAAACAUUCUCCAUUGCAUAAGUUUACAUCAGAUUGGAAUAACCCACUGACGGUUAACAGCCUAAUAAUACUAAAUUAUAUCAUAAGCACCCUAUUAUUUACACUGUUAAUCCAACUCAGGUAUCCUCUAAGGAAGACUGCAAAAAAGUAAAAGGAACAUGGCAAAUCUUACCCCAUCUGUUUACCAAAAACAUCACCUCUAGCAUUACCAGUAUGAGAGUCACUGCCUGCCCAGCACAUAUAUUUUACGGCCAUGGUAUCCUGACCAUGCAAAGGUAACAUAAUUGCUUGUUCCCUAAAUAGGGACUUGUAUGAAAUGCCAGAUGAGGGUUCAGCUGUCUCUUACUUUUAAGCAUUGAAAUUGACCUGUCCGUGAAGAGGUGGAUGUAAACAAAUGAGAUGAGAACACCCUAUGGAGGUUUAAUUCAUGAAGCAAAUAAAAACCCAAACAAGGCUGGAGACCCUAGCCUCCUAUCCUUGCAUUAAACAUUUUGGUUGGGGUGACCUCGGAGCAUAGUUAAACCUCUGAACAACCUAAACUAAGACUGCAAUAGUCUAAGCAAGUUAAUACACAUUGACCAGAUAAUUUGAUCAAUGGAAUAAAUUGCCGUAUGGAUAACAGUGCAAUCCCAUUCUAGAGUCCAUAUUAACAAUAGGGUUUACGAACUCAAUGUCGUAUGAGGACACCCUAACGGUGUAGCCGCUAUUAAGGGUUCGUCUGUUUAACGGCUAAAGUCCUACAUGAUCUGAGUUCAGACUGGAGUAAUCCAGGUCAGUUUCUAUCUAUGUAACAUUUAUCUUA
rfam:Macaca mulatta chromosome 5, whole genome shotgun sequence.